CUAGUAUCAUUCAGGUUAGAAGGAGAGAUUUUUCUUGGCUUGAAGAAUUUCUUUAUCCCAAGAUCUUUAAGUCUAAGUCUUGUUCUUUCAAGAUCUUGAGGAUAAUAAUUUAAGGACUAUUCUUCAAUUUCUUCAUUAGAUUCUUCAAGUGUCCUUCUUAAGAAAGUAUUUCUCUAUUAAUUUUUUCUGAAUAUAAUUCAUCUUCUUCUAUUUCUUCAGGGU
rnacentral:lncRNA from 1 species